GCAUACAUGAUAGCUCAGUCGGUAGAGGAUGAGACUCAUGAUUCCAGGGUUGUGGGUUCUAGCCCCAUGUUGGGCA